rnacentral:misc_RNA from 1 species
AGCAGCCGCGGUAAUUCCAGCUCCAAUAGCGUAUAUUAAAGUUGUUGCAGUUAAAAGCUCGUAGUUGAAUUUCGGGGUUAGUAGGUUGGUCAUGCCUCUGGUAUGUACUGGUCUCACUGAUUCCUCCUUCCUGAUGAACCUUAAUGCCAUUUAUUUGGUGUUUUGGGGAAUUUGGACUGUUACUUUGAAAAAUUAGAAUGUUUAAAGCAAGCUAACGCUUGAAUACAUUAGCAUGGAAUAAUGAAAUAGGACGCUCGAUCCUAUUUUGUUGGUUUCUAGGAUUGACGUAAUGAUUAAUAGGGAUAGUUGGGGGCAUUAGUAUUCAAUUGUCAGAGGUGAAAUUCUUGGAUUUAUUGAAGACUAACUACUGCGAAAGCAUUUGCCAAGGAUGUUUUCAUUAAUCAAGAACGAAAGUUAGGGAUCGAAGACGAUCAGAUACCGUCGUAGUCUUAACCAUAAACUAUGCCGACUAGGGAUCGGAUGAUGUUAAUUUUUAAUGUACUCAUUCGGCGCCUUACGG